rnacentral:lncRNA from 1 species
ACAUAUUUAACUUUCAUAAAAUAUAAAUUAUAUCAUAUAAUAAAAGAGAAUCAAUACAUUCACAUAUAUAAGAAAUGUAAUAACCCAAAUUUGCCAGGCAAACCCAAAAUCAAUACGGCCCAACUAGCCUAAACCCAAUUAGCCUAAGCCCAAUACCCUAGCCCAACUCAGACCAAAUCCCAACCUAAUGGCAGAAACCCUAGCAGUGAGCAAGCCUCAGCGCCGCAACAGCCCCAACUCCUCCACGUGUACCCAGCCUCUGCCCUCGCACGUGUGCCACCACCAUGUACCACGCCUUCACGCGUUGCACCGCGCCACGUCACCGUACGGCCGUACACCUGCAACGAACACACAGCAGCAAAAAACAACAGAAAAGGGGUGUCGAAACCGUUUUUUGAAAACAAAAAUUUUAGUUUCGAGUUAAAAAUAAAAAUUGGAGUCGCCACCAAUCCUUUAUUAAGGUGUGAUCGGCGCACCUUAAAAAUAAUUUUAGUUUGCGAAAUUUGAGAAAACAGGUUCGGGAGUCA